UAGGGCUUCACACGUCAUACAAUGGUCGGUACAGAGGGUUGCCAAGCCGCGAGGUGGAGCCAAUCCCUUAAAGCCGAUCGUAGUCCGGAUCGUAGUCUGCAACUCGACUACGUGAAGUCGGAAUCGCUAGUAAUCGCGGAUCAGCAUGUCGCGGUGAAUACGUUCCCGGGUCCUU
rnacentral:rRNA from 1 species